rnacentral:snRNA from 1 species
AUCUCUUCUCAGCCUUUUGGUUAAGAUCAAGUGUAAUAUCUGCUCUUAUCAGUUUAAUGUUAAUUAGAAAGAUGAGCAUAUUAAACUACAUGAAGCAUGCUCCUACUUUUC